GCUCGGAUAACUCAAUUGGUAGAGUGAACCAUUGAAGCUGGUUUUGUUGUAAGUUCAAGUCUCACUCCGGGCA